UCGUACAAUCGUUAGAUGGCGUUGCCAAA
rnacentral:sRNA from 1 species